UGGGGAAUAUUGGACAAUGGGGGCAACCCUGAUCCAGCGAUGCCGCGUGAGUGAUGAAGGCCUUCGGGUUGUAAAGCUCUUUUGCACGCGACGAUGAUGACGGUAGCGUGAGAAUAAGCCCCGGCUAACUCUGUGCCAGCAGCCGCGGUAAUACAGAGGGGGCUAGCGUUGUUCGGAAUGACUGGGCGUAAAGGGCGCGUAGGUGGUAUGACAAGUCAGGUGUGAAAGACCCAGGCUUAACCUGGGAACGGCAUUUGAGACUGUCAUGCUUGAGUCUGGGAGAGGAUAGCGGAAUUCCUAGUGUAGAGGUGAAAUUCGUAGAUAUUAGGAAGAACACCGGUGGCGAAGGCGGCUAUCUGGAACAGAACUGACACUGAGGCGCGAAAGCGUGGGGAGCAAACA
rnacentral:rRNA from 1 species